rnacentral:rRNA from 1 species
AUUGAACGCUGGCGGAAUGCUUUACACAUGCAAGUCGAACGGCAGCACGGGGCAACCUGGUGGCGAGUGGCGAACGGGUGAGUAAUACAUCGGAACGUGCCCAAUCGUGGGGGAUAACGUAGCGAAAGUUACGCUAAUACCGCAUACGAUCUACGGAUGAAAGCGGGGGAUCGCAAGACCUCGCGCGAAUGGAGCGGCCGAUGUCAGAUUAGGUAGUUGGUGGGGUAAAGGCUCACCAAGCCAACGAUCUGUAGCUGGUCUGAGAGGACGACCAGCCACACUGGGACUGAGACACGGCCCAGACUCCUACGGGAGGCAGCAGUGGGGAAUUUUGGACAAUGGGGGCAACCCUGAUCCAGCCAUGCCGCGAGAGUGAAGAAGGCCUUCGGGUUGUAAAGCUCUUUCGGCCGGGAAGAAAUCGUACGGGCUAAUACCCUGUGUGGAUGACGGUACCGGAAUAAGAAGCACCGGCUAACUACGUGCCAGCCGCCGCGGUAAGAC